GCUCUUUGUUCAAGAUGCAAGGAUUUAAACUGAGAGUUGAAAAAAUGUUUUCAAACAGCAGGACGUAAUUGGAAUAGCUGUAUACGAUGCAUGUCUAUCAACUGAGAGUUUUUAAACAGCAAGACGUAAUUGGAAUAGCUAUUUAAGGAUAUAAUGGCAAGUCGAUCUAAGGGUAAAAAGUCAAGUUCGGAUGAGGAUUCAAAGAAUAGUUCCGAUGAAGAUAAUAGUAAAAGGAGGAAUUUGGAUAUAGCAGCAAGUGUGUUUGAUGAUAUGGCGAGUUUGUUUGAUGAUAAAAAAGCAGUGCAGAAAAUA